UACAGAGGGGGCAAGCGUUGCUCGGAAUUACUGGGCGUAAAGGGCGCGUAGGCGGAAUGGCAAGUCGGUCGUGAAAUCCUUCGGCUCAACCGAAGAACGUCGAUCGAAACUGCCGUUCUUGAGGAUUGCAGAGGAGACUGGAAUUCCAGGUGUAGCGGUGAAAUGCGUAGAUAUCUGGAGGAACACCGGUGGCGAAGGCGGCAUCCUGGACCGGCAUUGACGCUGAGGCGCGAAAGCCAGGGGAGCAAACGGG
rnacentral:rRNA from 1 species